CCAUACGUUUCUUCUUCCUUUUCCAUGGAACGUGAACAAACCCAGAAACCAGAACCAUCAGCGAACAACGUACGCGACCCCACUGCCCAUACCGGUCUUCUUCUUCUUCACGUGAUAAAUCCAGAAAUCACGGAAUCAGCAACGACUCCAAACAGCACCAAAUCGACCCCACCCCUGCUUGUUUUCUUCUUCUUCCUUGCGUGUGAAAUCCAGCAGUCCAUCAACGUCCAAAAAUCCCACAAAAUCGCGGAAAUCCAGCAGCCUUAUCAAAAAGAGAACUUGAAUUUCGAAUUCAAAUUCUUCCAAUCCAUCCGUUUUCCCCCCUAAAAAAUCAACCCUAUUAUUCAUCUAUUUAAGAUCGUUUUCUCUAUGUAUUUUAGGAGGGAGCAUAGAGCGAGAAAAAAGGGAGUUUUGAGUUUGAGUUCUUUGGCAAUAGUCCCCGCUCAAAUUCUCUUGGUUUGUUGUUCGUAUUUGAGUUUUGUGGCAGGAAGAUCAUAGCUCUGCUCGCGCUGUCUCUAGUUCGCUGCCCUCGAAAAGGUAACCCUAUUUUAACCUUAACUCAUUUUAGCUAGUGUUUUAUUUCUAAUUAAAAGUGUACUGUUGAACUCUUGAGGCAAAUUUAUACUUUGGGGUGAUUGAUCAACGUUACGUGUCUUCUUGCUUGAGCAUUCUGAUGGAAAAUGGUAUUGAUCGAGUGCAUUAUAAUUCUUGUUCAUAUUGUUGACGAUUUGAGUUAUGUAAAACUAGUUAUUCAGUUGAAAUUUUUUGACAUAAUGGGGGGCUCAUUUCUAUUUGUUUUAUUAGUCUAGAUUCAUACCCAAAUCUUCUUCGAUGUGUUUUGGUGUUACUUUACCAAUUGAAGGCAUUUGAACCUUACAGUAAUGUCUUGAUGUCUUUCCCAUAUAGGAUAUUUUUCUCUAAUUUCGCAUCUUGUUUUCCCACUCUAGAAUGAUAUUACUAUAAGCUAGAAUGCUUUAGAAUGAUAGCUUCUCUUUUGGUCAAAAUCACAAAGUUACGUUCUCCGCAAAGUUCUGUUUCUUAAGUCUAGUUUUUUUUUAAAUUGAGCUUGCUGCAAUCAGCUCCUCUUUACUGCAUUUCCAGCAUCUAUUUUUGUCUAUUCGGUUUAUUCUCUCCUUGUAUUAGUUGUAGUUCUUUAUUUUCUUUUAAAAUGUUCAUGUGGGAUGUUGUUGUUAAUUCUUGUUGUGACGUGAAGUUAGACCACCGAUAUUAAGUUGUAGAGGAUAAUAUUUCGCUCUUGAUUUAUACUCAAUCAAAGUCUCUUUGUUUAGUUCGGGUGAUUCUCUAUGUAGCAAUUUGUGAUAUCUAGUUUGAUACCAACGCUUCAGAAAUCUAUCAUUUCAUGUUUUAGUUUAGAUUUCCCUGUCUAUUAUGGUGUAAGAAAUGUUCUAUUUAUAUAGAUACUAAUAUAUUUGUUGCUCAAUAGUUGUCGUAACUCAUAUAUAACAAUAGUAUUUCUUCAGCUUUCGCGUAUCUGUUUUAUAAUUGAUAGAUAGUAUUCUGCUUGCUCCAUUUCUUGCUAAUAAGUCACUAAGGUUAAUAUGUUUUUUUCUAAAUUAGCAUUACUUGUUAGAUUCUUGUUUAAAUGUUGGUGCUUAAGUCAAGAUUUAAAACCAUGUGUAGUUUUAUUUGAUGAAUGUUUUUUUCUUUAAAAAAUGGAAUCAUGAAUACUCUUGCUGAUAUGAUGCUCCAGUAGAUUAUAGCUAUUUUUUUUAAAAAACAAAACAAAAUAAAUAAAUAAAAUAAUCUAUAGAUAAAUAAAUAAAAAUGGAUAGAUUUGAGCUACUAUUUGGUUAAAGUUGAGUGGACCUAGGCGUUAUUUCACACAGUUUUCUUCAUGUUGCUUUUGGAUUGAUUUUCUCCAUUCAUGUGUUUAUGAUUCGUACUUUGUCCUCUAAAAAUUAAAUACCCUUUUUUAUGCAAUUUUGAGCUGCUAUUAAUUCAUUACUCCCUCCUUUGUAUGCAUGAUACUUGAGUCCAUUCAUGGACUCUUCUCCUUGCAUUACGUUGGGCCAAACAGCCCAACAUCCUACUUGAGUCGGCCUUCAUCCUUGUUCGGAUUUUGGAAGUUGAUAUACAGGGCAAGGGCAGCAAACACAAAGUCUCGGAAGCUGAAAAACGAGUUGUAUAUACUACUAUACCAACUUUAUACACCGGUAUACAACAAUCGUAUACAUGAUAUACAAGGCCAGAAACUGAUAUGCAGGUCAAAAAAUAUAAAAAUUACAGAGAUGAGUCAAACUACAGGGCUUCAGAAGAAAGAGAUACAUGAAAAGAGCAAAUAUAUAUGCUCAUAUACACUGAUAUACAUCAGAUGUAUACAAAAACGGGUUUAAGAUUAAACCCCAAAAAUUUCAGCGAAUUUGGCCCAAAAGGAGGCCCAAAUUCAAUUUCUCCCUUACUUUUUUAAUUAUUUAAUUGUGACUAUUUAUUGUUUGUUGUUUAGCCUAACUUUAUAAUUCUUAAUUAACUUAAUUAGAUUCCCCAAAAGAU